AAGUCGAGCGAACGGACGAGAAGCUUGCUUCUCUGAUGUUAGCGGCGGACGGGUGAGUAACACGUGGAUAACCUACCUAUAAGACUGGGAUAACUUCGGGAAACCGGAGCUAAUACCGGAUAAUAUUUUGAACCGCAUGGUUCAAAAGUGAAAGACGGUCUUGCUGUCACUUAUAGAUGGAUCCGCGCUGCAUUAGCUAGUUGGUAAGGUAACGGCUUACCAAGGCAACGAUGCAUAGCCGACCUGAGAGGGUGAUCGGCCACACUGGAACUGAGACACGGUCCAGACUCCUACGGGAGGCAGCAGUAGGGAAUCUUCCGCAAUGGGCGAAAGCCUGACGGAGCAACGCCGCGUGAGUGAUGAAGGUCUUCGGAUCGUAAAACUCUGUUAUUAGGGAAGAACAUAUGUGUAAGUAACUGUGCACAUCUUGACGGUACCUAAUCAGAAAGCCACGGCUAACUACGUGCCAGCAGCCGCGGUAAUACGUAGGUGGCAAGCGUUAUCCGGAAUUAUUGGGCGUAAAGCGCGCGUAGGCGGUUUUUUAAGUCUGAUGUGAAAGCCCACGGCUCAACCGUGGAGGGUCAUUGGAAACUGGAAAACUUGAGUGCAGAAGAGGAAAGUGGAAUUCCAUGUGUAGCGGUGAAAUGCGCAGAGAUAUGGAGGAACACCAGUGGCGAAGGCGACUUUCUGGUCUGUAACUGACGCUGAUGUGCGAAAGCGUGGGGAUCAAACAGGAUUAGAUACCCUGGUAGUCCACGCCGUAAACGAUGAGUGCUAAGUGUUAGGGGGUUUCCGCCCCUUAGUGCUGCAGCUAACGCAUUAAGCACUCCGCCUGGGGAGUACGACCGCAAGGUUGAAACUCAAAGGAAUUGACGGGGACCCGCACAAGCGGUGGAGCAUGUGGUUUAAUUCGAAGCAACGCGAAGAACCUUACCAAAUCUUGACAUCCUUUGACAACUCUAGAGAUAGAGCCUUCCCCUUCGGGGGACAAAGUGACAGGUGGUGCAUGGUUGUCGUCAGCUCGUGUCGUGAGAUGUUGGGUUAAGUCCCGCAACGAGCGCAACCCUUAAGCUUAGUUGCCAUCAUUAAGUUGGGCACUCUAAGUUGACUGCCGGUGACAAACCGGAGGAAGGUGGGGAUGACGUCAAAUCAUCAUGCCCCUUAUGAUUUGGGCUACACACGUGCUACAAUGGACAAUACAAAGGGCAGCGAAACCGCGAGGUCAAGCAAAUCCCAUAAAGUUGUUCUCAGUUCGGAUUGUAGUCUGCAACUCGACUACAUGAAGCUGGAAUCGCUAGUAAUCGUAGAUCAGCAUGCUACGGUGAAUACGUUCCCGGGUCUUGUACACACCGCCCGUCACACCACGAGAGUUUGUAACACCCGAAGCCGGUGGAGUAACCUUUUAGGAGCUAGCCGUCGAAGGUGGGACAAAUGAUUGGGGUGAAGUCGUAACAAGGUAGCCGUAUCGGAAGGUGCGGCUGGAUCACCU
rnacentral:rRNA from 1 species